rnacentral:rRNA from 1 species
UGGGGAAUAUUGCACAAUGGGCGGAAGCCUGAUGCAGCGACGCCGCGUGGGGGAUGAAGGCCUUCGGGUUGUAAACUCCUUUCGACAGGGACGAAGCUUUUGUGACGGUACCUGUAUAAGAAGCACCGGCUAACUACGUGCCAGCAGCCGCGGUAAUACGUAGGGUGCGAGCGUUGUCCGGAAUUACUGGGCGUAAAGAGCUCGNAGGUGGUUUGUCGCGUCGUCUGUGAAAUUCCGGGGCUUAACUCCGGGCGUGCAGGCGAUACGGGCUGACUUGAGUGCUGUAGGGGAGACUGGAAUUCCUGGUGUAGCGGUGAAAUGCGCAGAUAUCAGGAGGAACACCGAUGGCGAAGGNCAGGUCUCUGGGCAGUAACUGACGCUGAGGAGCGAAAGCAUUGGGUAGCGAACAGGAUUAGAUACCCUGGUAGUCCAUGCCGUAAACGGUGGGCGCUAGGUGUAGGGGGCUUCCACGUCUUCUGUGCCGUAGCUAACGCAUUANNGCCCGCCUGGGAGUACGGCCGC